UUUCCGACCGCCGAUCGAGGUAAAUUUCAUACCCCCGACUCGUUUUUCCACGCUGAUUCCUCCUGUGGCCAAAUCGGAGCCAAAAUCCCAGCCAAACGGCCGGAAUACGCGGCCAAAGACCAGCGGCGCCGCCGCGCCCCUUCUCGGUUUUUGCCUCCGACGAGGCCCUUCCCGGCCUCCGUUUGAUGCAAUUUUUAUAUCACCGUGAUCACCAUUCUUUUCUCUACAGGUUGACCGGAGCCGAAUCAUCAAAACACGAACCUCGCCGGAGAGCCGCCGCCGGUAAGCUCCGUUUUUCCGUGAUUUUUUGGCCCCCCGAGGGCCCUAGGGUUGUUUUCUCGCAGGGACCGAUGCGAGUGUGGCCGAAUUCGGCUGGAAACGGC
rnacentral:lncRNA from 1 species